UUUUUUUUUUCCAUUUUUGCCCUUCAAAGGUCCAGCCUUUGAACUACUAAACUAGAUUUCUCACAGCAUACCAUUUUGGAAUGUACAGCAUGUCUGGAAUGAACUUGUCUUGACCUAAAUCAAUCAAGUUGACUAUAACAAAACCUGACAUUUUUAAAUGAUCGUACCAUGUGCAGUGAAAUAGAAGCAACAACAAAAAUAUUUCAAAAAUAUUUCAUUAUUUUCUUUCUAAUUUAAUGCUUUAAUUAUUUUUACUUUCAUUAAAUCUUAUUACACCCUAUGUUGCUUAGUUCAGUCUUUUUUUUAGCACCAAUUAUGAGUUUGAUAAAUGUUUGAUUUUUUUUUAAUAUUGUCUACAAUUAAUGCUUGAAAUAUACCAAAUAAAUCAAUCAAUCAAUCAUGGAGAAGAAAUGAAUUACCGUAUUGCGUUUGUGAUCAGCCAGAACUGAAUGACACCAAGUCUUUUGUAUUUCCGAAUAGAGCUGUGAAAGAAAAGCUUGAAGCAAGAUUCAGAAGACUUCCACCACGUCGACAUUUCGCAUCAAGCCUCUUCCAACUACAACCAAGGUGCCCAUUUAAAAAAGCAUGAAGGAGACAGACAGCCCAGAUCAGCGGCGUUGGCUCAGCUGCUUCCCCUGGCGGCCACAAGUCUCGCACCUGCAAUACCUCAUGUGAGCUCUGAUAAGAGAUGACCAACCAAAUGUUAGCCACAUGCUGGCGGAGAUCACACACACAGGACUCUGCUCUAAUAUUUCACAGGUAGGAAGAAAAGAAUGCAUGAAUCAUUCUGACACAGCCAGAAUGGAGAGAGACAUCCCUCCGUUAUCUCCACAAACACUCGCACUGUCAGAGAUUUAUGGAACAAGGCUUUAAUGGUGCCCUCACACGCUUCUUUCUCUUACCCAUACCCCUCUUCUCUGUCGCACAAACACACACGCAUCAAUCACUCCCUUCCUUCUUCUUUUGUUUUCUUCCGCUCCUCCAUCUUCUCUCUAUCUGCUGUCCAUCUCACAUUAUUCUCUGCAGCUUUUCUCCAUUUCUCUAACCAUUUUUCCCCCUUCCUGACUGUCCUCCUUCUCUUCCUAUCUCAUAAUCCCCCCUCUUUUAACUGGCUUUAAUUGAAAGUACAGUGAAAAUAAAGAUGUCAAAGUCUAGCUGGGCUCCAAGGGGUAAACGCUUCCAAUGUACCCUGAGGGGGAAAAUGAGUGUUGGGGCUGUCACAUAAAGAGGAAGAAAAGCACCGCCAUAUGUAUGCUUGUUUGAAUAACUGAACCUCCAAAUGUAUGGCACCCUGACAGCCAUACAUGAUUCCUUAAUGGGGGUAUUUAAACCUUAUACAGAGGCCGUUUAACUGUGUGAUUUAUGGGGAGGUGAGGCAGCCAUAAGACAGAGUCCAUCGUCUGUGUACCUGGUGGAAAAAGUGCUGGUUGUGACACAAAA